rnacentral:rRNA from 1 species
UCCAGACUCCUACGGGAGGCAGCAGUGGGGAAUAUUGGGCAAUGGGCGCAAGCCUGACCCAGCAACGCCGCGUGAAGGAAGAAGGCUUUCGGGUUGUAAACUUCUUUUAAGAGGGAAGGGUAGAAGACGGUACCUCUUGAAUAAGCCACGGCUAACUACGUGCCAGCAGCCGCGGUAAUACGUAGGUGGCAAGCGUUGUCCGGAUUUACUGGGUGUAAAGGGCGUGCAGCCGGGCUGACAAGUCAGAUGUGAAAUCCCGCGGCUCAACCGCGGAACUGCAUUUGAAACUGUCAGUCUUGAGUACCGGAGAGGUCAUCGGAAUUCCUUGUGUAGCGGUGGAAUGCGCAGAUAUCGGGAAGAACACCGAUGGCGAAGGCAGCUCUCUGGGCCGUCACUGACGCUGAGGCGCGAAAGCUGGGGGAGCGAAAAGGAUUAGAUACCCGCGUAA